GAUGAACGCUGGCGGCGUGCCUAAUACAUGCAAGUCGAGCGACCGGACGAGAAGCUUGCUCUUCUGAUGGUAGCGGCGGACGGGUGAGUAAGACGUGGAUAACCUUCCUAUAAGACUGGGAUAACUUCGGGAAACCGGAGCUAAUACCGGCUCAUAUUUUCAACCGCAUGGUUCAAAAGUGAAAGACGCUCUUGCUGUCACUUAUAGAUGGAUCCGCGCUGCAUUAGCUAGUUGGUAAGGUAACGGCUUACCAAGGCAACGAUGCAUAGCCGACCUGAGAGGGUGAUCGGCCACACUGGAACUGAGACACGGUCCAGACUCCUACGGGAGGCAGCAGUAGGGAAUCUUCCGCAAUGGGCGAAAGCCUGACGGAGCAACGCCGCGUGAGUGAUGAAGGUCUUCGGAUCGUAAAACUCUGUUAUUAGGGAAGAACAUAUGUGUAAGUAACUGUGCACAUCUUGACGGUACCUAAUCAGAAAGCCACGGCUAACUUCGUG
rnacentral:rRNA from 1 species